ACGAACCUUCGGGUUAGUGGCGGACGGGUGAGUAACGCGUGGGAAUCUGCCCUCAGGAGGGGGAUAACGGCCGGAAACGGCCGCUAAUACCCCAUAUGCCGAGAGGUGAAAUGAAUUUCGCCUGAGGAUGAGCCCGCGUCUGAUUAGCUAGUUGGUGAGGUAAGAGCUCACCAAGGCAUCGAUCAGUAGCUGGUCUGAGAGGAUGAUCAGCCACACUGGGACUGAGACACGGCCCAGACCCCUACGGGAGGCAGCAGUGGGGAAUUUUCCGCAAUGGGCGAAAGCCUGACGGAGCAACGCCGCGUGAGGGAUGAAGGCCUCUGGGCUGUAAACCUCUUUUAUCAAGGAAGAAGAUCUGACGGUACUUGAUGAAUAAGCCACGGCUAAUUCCGUGCCAGCAGCCGCGGUAAUACGGGAGUGGCAAGCGUUAUCCGGAAUUAUUGGGCGUAAAGCGUCCGCAGGCGGCCCAACAAGUCUGCUGUUAAAAAGUGGAGCUUAACUCCAUCAUGGCAGUGGAAACUGUUGGGCUAGAGUGUGGUAGGGGCAGAGGGAAUUCCCGGUGUAGCGGUGAAAUGCGUAGAUAUCGGGAAGAACACCAGUGGCGAAGGCGCUCUGCUGGGCCAUCACUGACGCUCAUGGACGAAAGCCAGGGGAGCGAAAGGGAUUAGAUACCCCUGUAGUCCUGGCCGUAAACGAUGAACACUAGGUGUCGGGGGAAUCGACCCCUCCGGUGUCGUAGCCAACGCGUUAAGUGUUCCGCCUGGGGAGUACGCACGCAAGUGUGAAACUCAAAGGAAUUGACGGGGGCCCGCACAAGCGGUGGAGU
rnacentral:rRNA from 1 species